GUGAUAUGAGGUGCUACCGGCUAGAUCGAUGUGACUUGGAAUCGGGGUCCUGACAUUGAGGAGAUAGUCCAAGAUUUGGUGGAUUAAUUAAUAUUUUUUGAACACAGUACAAGCGCAAGUGUUAUAUAAACGUGCAUACACUCACCUCUAUGAACGCACGCACGCACACCCUACCCCUGUGAGCACCAUCGAGAGACUAAGCCGGCAUUUCAUCUUGAGAUUUUACAAAGUCAGCGUAGGUGCCUCGUAGUCGAUGGGAACAAUUUGGAUUUAGUUCGGUGAGUGUGAUAUUGAACCAAAUUCCUCGGUGAUUUAUUUGAUUUUAGGUGGAUUUAGUUAGGUGAUUGAGUCUUGAGAAGAUAGUCAAAAUGUUCGGUGGAUUAUGAGAUUUUAGGUAUGGUAAAUGAGCAAGGUGAUUAUUAUAUUAGUUCUAAACAAAUAUUUAGAUCAAUUUGGAUUUAAGUAGGGGAUUGUGAUCUUUUAACCUAAUUUUACAAUGGAUUAUGAGGUUUUGGUUGGAUUUAGUUAGGUGCUUGUGAUCUCGACAAGGUAGUUAAAGAUGUUUCAUGGACUAAUAUGUCUAGUAAGUGAGCAUGGUGGCUACUACAUUGGUGGAUAAAUGGAUCUUUAAUAAGCUUGAAGAUAUUUGAAUUUAGUUAGGCGAUUGUGAUCUUGAACCAAAUUUCAUGGUGGAUAACGAGAUUUUAGCCGGAUUUGAUUAGUUGAUUGCGAUUUUGAGGAGAUAGUAAAAGAUGUUCGGUGGAUUAAUUAAUCUUGAACAAUUUGGAUUUAGUUACGUGAUUGUGAUAUUGAACCAAAUUUCUCGUUGAUUUAUGAGAUUUUAGCUGGAUUUAGUUAGGUGAUUGCGUCUUCAAAAGAUAGUCAAAGAUGUUCAGUGAUUAUGAUAUUUUAGGUCUAGUAGAUGAGCAUGGCAAUUAUUAUAUUGGUGGAUAAACAAAUAUUUAAUAUAGUUUGGAACAAUUUGGGUUUAGUUAGGUGAUUGUGAUUUUUAACCAAAAUUUAGGGUGGAUUAUGAGGUUUUGAUUAGAUUUAGUUAGGUGAUUGGGAUCUUGACGAGCUAGUAAAAGAUGUUCGGUAGAUUAUGUGAAUUUAGAUCUAAUAGGUGAGCAUCUUGAUUAUUAUAUUGGUGGAUAAAUAAUUUUUCUAUAAACUUGGACAAAUUUGAAUUUAGUUACACAAUUGUGAUCUUGAACCAAUUUUAUGGUGGAUUAUGAUAUUUUUGAUGGAUUAGUUAGUUGAUUGUGAUCUUGAGGAGAUAGUCAAAGAUAUUCGAUGUAUUAAUUAACUCGAACAAUUUGGAUUUAGUUAGGUGAUUGUGAUAUUGAACUAAAUUUCUCUGUGAUCUAUGAGAUUUUAGUUGGAUUUAGUUAGGUGAUUGUGUCUUCAGAAGAUAAUCAAAGAUGUUUGAUGGGUUAUGAGAUUAUAGGUCUAAUAAAUGGGCAUGGUGAUUAUUAUAUUGAUGGAUAAACAAAUAUUUAAUUAGUUUGAAACAAUUUGGAUUUAGUUCAGUGAUGAUCUUUUAACCUGAUUUUAUGCUGGAUUAUAAGGUUUUGGUUGGAUUUAGUUAGGUGAUUGUGAUUUUGAUGAUGAGCUAGUAAAAGAUGUUCCGUGGAUUAUGUGAAUUUAGGUCUACUAGGUGAGCAUGUUGAUUAUUAUAUUGGUGGGUAGAAAUAAGGGCCACACGAGUGACUCAAGGCGAUGGUGCCACUACUGAAAAUAACUGGUAAACACGACAAGAGAGGCGGAGAGACUGUGGGUGAUGGGAGUAGAUGGACUUUGAUCCAGCAUCCUACCUCUUCAAAGAUGUUUGAUGGGUUAUGAGAUUAUAGGUCUAAUAAAUGAGCAUGGUGAUUAUUAUAUUGAUGGAUAAAUCAAUAUUUAAUUAGUUUGAAACAAUUUGGAUUUAGUUCGGUGAUGAUGAUCUUUUAACCUAAUUUUACGGUGGAUUAGAAGGUUUUGGUUGGAUUUAGUUAGGUGAUUGUGAUUUUGAUGAUGAGCUAGUAAAAGAUGUUUGGUGGAUUAUGUGAAUUUAGGUCUAGCAGGUGAGCAUGUUGAUUAUUAUAUUGGUGGGUAGAAAUAAGGGCCACACGAGUGACUCAAGGCGAUGGUGCCACUACUAAAAACAACUGGUAAACACGACAAGAGAGGCGGAGAGACUGGGGUGAUGGCAGUAGAUGGACUUUGAUCCAGCAUCCUACCUGCCAGUGCACUCUCCUUCCCCGCUGAUCCGGCUUGGUGUCCUUGUCCUGUUUGCGGAUUUGUGUCACGCACUUGAUUAAGCAUCCCACGUUCUCCUAAUGUGCGCCCUUGGCCUUGACGAUAGGUAGCGCCGUGUUCUCGGACGCGUCCCGUGGGUAAAAUUCAGGUAUGCGUCGAUUGUCUGAGCUCUUGCUCGCCAUUGUGCCGCCCAGCAAGGGAACACAUGAUGUGGGAUCAAGACAGCACACAUAGCAACCCGCCACCAGGCAACGGACGCCCAUCCGGACUUACAGGGAGCGGAGGUGGACAAAAAGGUGGAUGUUGAGCUCCAUAGUAGUCUCAACAGUGUGCUCAUUAGUAAGAGUAGCACGAGCAAGAAGAUCCUGGACAUACUGCUCUUAGGAAAUAAAGAAGCCAUUAGAGGUAGAAGAAACCUCAAUCUCAAGGAAGUAGUGACUUUAGUAAACAUGGAGCAAUUUGGAUUUACUUAGGCGAUUGUGAUCUUGAACAAAUUUUAUGGUGAAUUAUGAGAUUUUUGAAUGGAUUUAGUUGAUUGUGAUCUUGAGGAGAUAGUCAAAGAUGUUCGGUGUAUUAAUUAAUCUUGAAGAAUAUGGAUUUAGUUAGGUGAUUGUGUCUUGAGAUAAUAAUCAAAGAUGUUUCGUGGAUCAUGAGAUUUUAGGUCUAGUAGAUGAGCAUGGUGAUCAUUAUAUAGUUAGGUGAAUGUGAUUUUGACGAGCUAGUAAAAGAUGUUCGGUGAAUUAUUGUGAAUUUAGGUCUAGUAGGUAAGCAUGUUGAUUAUUAUAUUGAUGGAUAAAUAAAUUUUAGGUCUAGUAGAUGAGCAUGGUGAUCAUUAUAUAGUUAGGUGAAUGUGAUUUUGACAAGCUAGUAAAAGAUGUUCGGUGAAUUAUUGUGAAUUUAGGUCUAGUAGGUGAGCAUGUUGAUUAUUAUAUUGAUGGAUAAAUAAAUUUUCAAUAAAUUUAAAACAAUUUGCAUUUAGUUAGACGAUUGUGACCUUGAAUCAAAUUUCAUGGUGGAUGAUGAGAUUUUUGAUGGAUUAGUUAGUUGAUUGUGAUCUUCAAGAGAUAGUCAAAGAUGUUUUGUGGAUUAAUUAAUCUUGAACAACUUGGAUUUAGUUAAGUGGUUGCGAUACUGAACCGAAUUUCACGCUGGAUUAUGAGAUUGUAGGUGGAUUUAGUUAGGUGAUUGUGUCUUGAGAAUAUUGUCAUAGAUGUUUGCUAGUCUAUGAGAUUUUAGGUUUAGUAGAUGGGAAUGGUGAUUAUUAUAUUGGUAGAUAAACAAAUCUUUAUUUUAGUUUGGAACAAUUUUGACUCACUUAGGUAAUUGUUAUUUUUCAACCAAAUUUACGGUGGAUUUUGAGAUUUUUUUGGAUUUAGUUAGGUGACUGAUCUUGACAAGAUAGUCAAAUAUGUUUGGUGAAUUAUGUUAAUUUAGAUCUAGUAAGUGAGCAUGGUGGUAAUUAUAUUGGUGGAUAGAUGGAUCUUUAGUAAAAAUGAAGCAAUUUGGAUGUAGUUAGGUGAUUGUGAUCUUGAACAAAUUUCACGGUGGAUUACGAGAUUUUCAAUAGAUUUAGUUAAUAGAUUGUGAUCUUGGGGGAUGUCAAAGAUGUUCGGUGGAUUAAUUAAUUUUGAACAGUUUCAAUUUAGUUAGGUGAUUGCGAUAUUCAACCAAAUUUCUCGGUGAUUUAUGAUAUCUUAGUUGGAUUUAGUUAGAUGAUUGUGUCUUCAGAAGAUAGUUAAGGAUGUUCGAUGGAUUAUGAGAUUUUAGGUCUAGUAGAUGAGCAUGGUGAUUAUUAUAUUGGUGGAUAAACAAAUGUUUAAUUUAGUUUGGAACAAUUUAGAUUUAGUAAGGUGAUUGUGAUAUUGAACCAAAUUUCUCUGUGAUUUAUGAGAUUUUAGUUGGAUUUAGUUAGGUGAUUGUGUCUUGAGAAGAUAGUCAAAGAUGUUUGGUGGAUUAUGAGAUUUUAGGUCUAAUAGAUGAGUAUGGUGAUUAUUAUAUUGGUGGAUAAACAGAUAAAGUGAUAUUUAAUUUAGUUUGCAAUUUGGAUUUAGUUAGGUGAUUGUGAUCAUUUAACUUAAUUUUACGAUGGAUUAUAAGGUUUUGGUUGGAUUUAGUUAGGUGAUUGUGAUUUUGACGGGCUAUUAAAAGAUUUUCGGUGGAUUAUGUGAAUUUAGGUCUAGUAGGUAAGCAUGUUGAUUAUUAUAUUGGUGGAUAAAUGGGUCUAUAGUAAACAUGGAGCAAUUUGGAUUUAGUUAGGCGAUUGUGAUCUAGUACAAAUUUCAUGGUGGAGAUUUGCAAUGGAUUUAGUUGAUUGUGAUCUUGAGGAGAUAGUCACAGAUGUUCGGUGGAUAAAUUAAUCUUGAACAAUUUGAAUAUAUUUAGGUGAUUGUGAUAUUGAACCAAAUAUCUCUAUGAUUUAUGGGAUUUUAGUUGGAUUUAAUUAGGUGAUUGUGUCUUGAGAUGAUAAUCAAAUAAGUUUGGUGGAUUAUGAGAUUUUAGGUGCAGUGGAUGAGCAUGGUGAUUACUAUAUUAGUGGAUAAGCAUAUAUUUAAUUUAGUUUGGAACAAUUUGGAUUUAGUUAGGUGAUUGGGAUCUUGACGAGCUAGUAAAAGAUGUUCGGUGGAUUAUGCGAAUUUAGGUCUAGUAGGUGAGCAUGUUGGUUAUUAUAUUGGUGGAUAAAUAAUUUUUUAAUAAACUUGAAAAAAUUUGGAUUUUGUUAGGUGAUUGUGAUCCUUUAACUUAAUUUUAUGGUGGAUUAUAAGGUUUUGGUUGGAUUUAGUUAGGUGAUUGUGAUUUUGACGAGCUAUUACAAGAUUUUCGGUGGAUUAUGUGAAUUUUGGUCUAGUAGGUGAGCAUGUUGAUUAUUAUAUUGGUGGAUAAAUGGGUCUAUAGUAAACAUGGAGCAAUUUGGAUUUAGUUUGGUGAUUGUGACCUAUUACAAAUUUCAUGGUGGAGAUUUGCAAUGGAUUUAGUUGAUUGUGAUCUUGAGGAGAUAGUCAGAGAUGUUCGGUGGAUAAAUUAAUCUUGAACAAUUUGAAUAUAUUUAGGUGAUUGUGAUAUUGAACCAAAUUUCUCUAUGAUUUAUGGGAUUUUAGUUGGAUUUAAUUAGGUGAUUGUGUCUUGAGAUGAUAAUCAAAUAUGUUUGGUGGAUUAUGAGAUUUUAGGUCUAGUGGAUGAGCAUGGUGAUUACUAUAUUGGUGGAUACACAUAUAUUUAAUUUAGUUUGGAACAAUUUGGAUUUAGUUAAGUGGUUGUGAUCUUUUGACCAAAUUUUAGGUGAAUUACGAGGUUUUGGUUGGAUUUAGUUAGGUGAUUGGGAUCUUGACGAGUUAGUAAAAGAUGUUCGGUGGAUUAUGCGAAUUUAGAUCUAGUGGGUGAGCAUGUUGGUUAUUGUAUUGGUGGAUAAAUAAUUUAUUAAUAAACUUGGAAAAGUUUGGAUUUAGUUAGGCGAUUGUGAUCUUGAACCAAAUUUUAUGGUGGAUUAUGAGAAUUGUGAUGGAUCAGUUAGUUGAUUGUAAUCUUGAGGAGAUAGUCAAAGAUGUUCGGUGUAUUAAUUAAUCUUGGACAAUUUGCAUAUAGUUAGGUGGUUGUGAUAUUUAAACAAAUUUCUCCGUGAUUUAUGAGAUUUUAGUUGUGUUUAUUUAGGUGAUUGUGUUUUGAGAAGAUAGUCAAAGAUGUUUGGUAGAUUAUGAGAUUUUAGGUCUAAUAGAUGCGCAUGGUGAUUAUUAUAUUGGUGGAUAAAUGAAUAUUUAAUAAAUUUGGAAUAACUUGGAUUUAGUUAGCCGACUGUGAUCUUGAAUCAAAUUUUAUGGUGGAUUAUGAGAGUUAAUUUGGCGGCGCUUCGCUUCUUCCUCGAGGAGCAUGUGCAGUGAAGUGGUGCGGGGCCUCGUGCGGCCUGCGGAGGCCUGCGAAGGUGGGCGGUGACACCUGCAACUUGUGCACAAUGGCGACUCCACGCAUCUCUUGCGCCCCGCAACCCUCUCCUUCCCGGCACAACAGGAGUAGGAGCAAGGAUGCCGAGGCGGUUCAGUCGCAAGGAAGAGUAGGAAGAUCAGGCAGAGAGGGUUUCACACACCUCUUCUACACUGACAAGUCUUUGCAUUCCAGGAUUGCCAUGGGAGCUUUGGAUGGUGGUCUUGAUCUUCCGCACAGUGACAGGAGAUUUGCUGGCUUCAAGAAGGAUAAGAAGCAGUUGGGCGCUGAGAUUCACCUCAAAUACAUCUAUGAAGGUCAUGUUGCUGACUACAUGAAGUCAAUAGCUGAUGAGGAACCUAAGAAGUACCAAUCUCACUUCAGUGAGUACAUCAAGAAGAACUGAAGAAGAUCAAGGGUUACAGAUGCCACAAGGCUUGCCUAACAAAUGUUCCUAGAAAAGGAAUGAUUGAGAAAAAAGGCUUUGCUCUCCAAGUGCAGAACACUUUCCCACUCCCCAUCGAUGACGAUCUUCCUGGUAGCUCUUUUAGUACCACAGAAGUUAUUCCGAAAGGUCAUUAAGCUUAUUCUAAUGCCAACUUCUGUAGAGGUGCUUGUCCUGGUUAUUACAGUAUGUUCCUUUUGACAACCAACAGAAGUGUACAAAUUAUUUAAAUGGGUUCGCAAGGUAUUUUCAUUAGCAAUGCCACAAGGCACCAGAAAGCACAAGUAGCGAGAUUGUGUUAAAUUAAUCUGCUAGAGUAUGGUGAUAACAGAGGGGCACUGUUUUUGAAAAUUGUUUUUUCUGUUUCAAUUGUAUAGGGCCCUCCGCAACGAUAUUGAUUUCAUCAGGUGUAGAUGUUUAGUUGGACAGAUAUUGUUCGUCACUUUCUUAGUGCAUGCCUAGCUGUUUCCCCUUUUUACAUUGCUUCUUUUCUGUAGGAUUUCUUGAAACAUAAUAACUUGCUUCCACAAUUGUGGAAUGAUCAUGGUUUCUUUGCAUUCCUGUACUUUCAUAUGAUUAACAAUUUCAUGGCUAACCUAGGUAACAAGCAGACAUCAUUGGCAUUAGCCAAUGCAUUUCCGUUAAAUGCCCUGCUGGCCGAGUGCAACUUCGUUCUUCUUUAGUGGGUAUUUGUAUUUUCCAAAAAGAAGUUGGUGCACCUCAUAGUUGUAUUGUAGCCUGACUAUUAUGCCUAGAUUUUGCUCUAUGAUACAGAACUAAGUAGUGAUUUGAGCUGCCUUAUUCCCAGAUAGUGACUAUCUAAAUUAUUGACAUCAGAGGACGGGGCGUCGACCCGUUGGCUGGGCAGCUGGGGUACCAGCCAGUCCACCCGAGUUCGAGCCCCGGCUUUGACGCGUGAUGCCCGCGGAGCUUUUCCUAUAAAAAAAUACCAACGAGGGUUAGCCCUUGGGUUGGUCUCAUUUAAAAAAAAUUAUUGACAUCCACUCAAAUAAAUAUACAAGAUUUGUAUGAAAGGGAACCACUUAUCUUUUUAACAAGAAAUAUGUUUAGCGUCAUAACAAUGUUCAGGUCGCACAUGCAUACCAGAACACUGAGGGGUGGUCUUACAAAUGACAACUACUUUCAUGUCAGUAAUUUCUUCUGUUUGACAUAUUCCACGAGCCUUCUUGCUAGCUCCAGUCAUACAAUUUAUCAUUAUAUCCACCAUAUUUUUAUGCUCGGCAUUCCUAAUCUGCCGGUCACAAGAAACUGUAGUAUAGUGUCAGGUCGCACAUUCUUUUCGUUUCAUGGUUCAGUACAGGUCUCAUGGUGAGCAGCAGCACUAGGUUGCAGUAUAAUGUCAGCUGAUUGCAACAUCCUGAGUUAUUUUAUCGAUGUUUUGCAUCUGGAAGCUUGAAUCUCUUUCAACUUUCAGUACACAUAUAUUCUGAUUUGUGCAUCUUUUUGGUUGUAAUCAUAUGGCUUGCAUAUUUUAUCGGACUGAUCAGUCACAAAGAUCGGACUGAUCAUAUUUGGUACAGAAUAUCAAAAGAAGCAUUUAUAUCAUCUUUUUGUGUGCUUUAUCUGUAGAAAAGUACCAUGGGUUGAUGGUGUUGGAUCCAAUUACUAUAUGAUGUAAUUGACUGCUAUUCCUAAGAACUGCUCCUGGACACAGUGCUCUAUGUUAUCAUGUUUUACAUUCUAUUGUGUCGCCUAUCUUUAUAGUUACUCGGAUCUUACAUUUCAAUUUUUGUAUUUUUGUCUGUGCAAGUGUUGUCUUCCUACUAUCAAACAACAGGGAUUUCUUUAAAUUAAAUUGUACAUAUUGUUGAAAAAUAUCCUGUGUAUGUCUAUAUUCAUGCCUAGUAUAAAACAAACAUUCUUCAUUGCCUAUGCCUUUUCCUUCUGUUAAUGAUGAUAAUGUAGUUCUCCAUCUUAUUAAUUCCUUCUUCAUUCACUUGAAAUAUUGCCUAAUUUUGUGUGUGUGUAUUUGGUUUAGCACCCUGACUUAUGGUCAAACUGAAGGUGCUUAGCAUGGUCUGGUAUGCAUUUCUCAGUUUCUCUUGAUUUCUGUUUCUGUUUCUGUUUCAUUUCAUUUUAAGCCGAUUGUAUUUGCAUACAUAUUGGAGAGGUUAUUUCUCGUGUGAAGUUACUAUUUUUUUUUCAGUUCUGAAGCACAUUCCUCAACUUUGAUGGUCUACUUUACAAGAGAAAAUAUUUCUCUGUUUGUAUGGUGCAGGUUUCUUUAUGGUCUACUUUACAAGAGAAAACAUUUCUCUGGAAGGAGCUGCUGACAAGGUUUAACAACAAACUGGACGGAGUUCUUCACAUGGCAAACAUAGAUGAAGGAACGAUGUAUGCCUUCACCUUCAGAUGCAAGGCAAAGUGCCUCCGCCUCUGUCUAACUUCUCACUUCCUAUGAGGACACCAUC